GCCUGGCUGGCUCAGUCAGUAGAGCAUGAGACUCUUGAUCUCUGGGUUGUAAGUUCGAGCCCCAUGUUGGGUA
rnacentral:tRNA from 1 species